UGGCCAAACUACCCUUCGGAACACAAUACCCUCGGGAAACUGAGGCUAAUAGUGUAUACCACACUCACUCUGGAAUGACAAGUGUGCCAAACGCUCCGGCGCCGAAGGAUGUGGCUGCGGCCGAUUAGGUAGACGGUGGGGUAACGGCCCACCGUGCCGAUAAUCGGUACGGGUGGUGAGAGCCAGAACCCGGAGACGGAAUCUGAGACAAGAUUCCGGGCCCUACGGGGCGCAGCAGGCGCGAAACCUUUACACUGCACGACAGUGCGAUAAGGGGAUCCCAAGUGCGCAGGCAUAGAGCCUGCGCUUUUGUACACCCUAGGGAGGUGCACGAAUAAGGGCUGGGCAAGACCGGUGCCAGCCGCCGCGGUAAUACCGGCAGCCCAAGUGAUGGCCGAUCUUAUUGGGCCUAAAGCGUCCGUAGCUGGCCGCGCAAGUCCAUCGGGAAAUCCACCUGCUCAACAGGUGGACGUCCGGUGGAAACUGCACGGCUUGGGACCGGAAGGCGCGACGGGUACGUCCGGGGUAGGAGUGAAAUCCCGUAAUCCUGGACGGACCGCCGAUGGCGAAAGCACGUCGCGAAAACGGAUCCGACAGUGAGGGACGAAAGCUAGGGUCUCGAACCGGAUUAGAUACCCGGGUAGUCCUAGCCGUAAACAAUGCCUGCUAGGUGUGGCUCCCACUACGAGUGGGUGCUGUGCCGUAGGGAAGCCGCUAAGCAGGCCGCCUGGGAAGUACGUCCGCAAGGAUGAAACUUAAAGGAAUUGGCGGGGGAGCACUACAACCGGAGGAGCCUGCGGUUUAAUUGGACUCAACGCCGGACAUCUCACCAGCAUCGACUGUGGUAAUGACGGUCAGGUUGAUGACCUCGCCACGAGCCACAGAGAGGAGGUGCAUGGCCGCCGUCAGCUCGUACCGUGAGGCGUCCUGUUAAGUCAGGCAACGAGCGAGACCCGCAUCCGUACUUGCCAGCAGCACUGCGAAGUGGCUGGGGACAGUACGGAGACUGCCGUGGCCAACACGGAGGAAGGAACGGGCAACGGUAGGUCAGUAUGCCCCGAAUGUGCUGGGCAACACGCGGGCUACAAUGGUCGAGACAAAGGGUUCCUACUCCGAAAGGAGACGGUAAUCUCAGAAACUCGAUCGUAGUUCGGAUUGUGGGCUGCAACUCGCCCACAUGAAGCUGGAUUCGGUAGUAAUCGCGUGUCACAAGCGCGCGGUGAAUACGUCCCUGCUCCUUGCACACACCGCCCGUCAAAGCA
rnacentral:rRNA from 1 species